rnacentral:rRNA from 1 species
AAUGAACGUUGGCGGCAUGGAUUAGGCAUGCAAGUCGGGGGAAUCCCAGCAAUGGGGGAACCGGCGUAAGGGGCAGUAAGGCAUGGGUACCUACCUUGGGGUUCGGGAUAGCCAUCAGAGAUGGUGGGUAAUACCGGAUGACGUCGUGAGACCAAAGAUUCAUCGCCCUUAGAGGGGCCCAUGUGAUAUUAGCUAGUUGGUGGGGUAACGGCCCACCAAGGCGAAGAUGGCUAGCGGGUGUGGGAGCACGACCCGCGCCACUCGCACUGAGACACUGGCGAGACACCUACGGGUGGCUGCAGUCGAGGAUCUUCGGCAAUGAGCGCAAGCUUGACCGAGCGAUGCCGCGUGAGCGAUGAAGGCCUUCGGGUUGUAAAGCUCUUUAGUGGGGGAGAAAAGCCGCAAGGUGUGAUCUAUCCCAAAAAUAAGCACGGGCUAAGUUCGUGCCAGCCGCCGCCGUAA